GUUGAGAUGGCUGAGUUGGUUUAAAGCGCUAAAUAAGGAUUUUGGUCAGAAAGGGAGUUCAAAUCCCACUCUCAACA
rnacentral:tRNA from 1 species